rnacentral:lncRNA from 1 species
CAUUCUUCUUGUCUGCUGCCAUAUGAGAUGUACCUUUCACCCUCCACCAUGAUUGUGAGGCCUCUCCAGCCACAUGGAACUGACAGCACAUGUGGCUUUCCUGCAAUGGGAUCGUCCUUCAAGAGGACCUCACAGGCUCUCCACCCGGACUGUGACAGAAAGAAUCUCAGUCAUCUGGACUGCUUUGUGCUAUAUGAAAAUCUCUGAGAACCUUCAAGAGCCCAAAAACAGUUCUCCUCCAUGCUGUAUGCCAUGGUCAGUGGUUAAAGAGAACAUUUUGUUCCACUCCUCCAGCUCUGCCUUAGAAACCCAAGCCCUGCACUCCAAGGCUCCUGGCAUCGUACACCAGCACCAGCAAUUUUCUGCCAAAAGCAUCAGCCAAAAUCUAUUCUAUCUAUUUCAGUUCCUCUCUUUUCAUCGGAUUGUAUUUUUACAGGUGAUUGCUGAUUCUCACACUGCUCUUCAGAUUCAUGUACAGCUGUGGUCUGAAUGUGUGUGUUUUCUCAAAAUUCAAGUUUAAAACUUAAUCCUCAAUGUGAUAGUAUCAACAGCUGCGGCCUUUUGGAAAGUGAAGGUGGAGCCCUCGUGAGUGGGAUUAGAGCUCUUAUAAAAGAGAUUGAAGGGAGCUACCUAGCCCUUCCAUCUCUUCUGCCUUGUGAGGACACAGUGUUCAUCCCUUUUGUCUUCCCACCAUUUGAAGAUGCAGAAAGAAGGUGCCAUCUUGGAAGCAAAGAGCAGCCCUCACCAGACACCAAGUCUGCUGGCACCUUGAUCUUGGACUUCCCAGCCUCCAGGACUGUGAGAAAUGAAUUUCUGUUGUUUAUAAAUUACCUAGUCUAAGGUAUGCUGUUACAGUAGCAGGAAUGGACUAAGACACACAUUGUCAAAAUCUUCAUGAGUUAAAGGUGAAGGUACAAUCAGAACUGGUGCAUGGAAUUGGAACCAUAGGUCUUAGUAAACACUGUAAAAAUGCACUAUUCAAAUCUACAGAAAAUGCUCUCUCUUCAAGUUCAGAAAGAAGCUACAAUCUGCUUUUCCUUUUUUUCUGAAGAUGUGGGGAACGAAAUUGGAUCUUGUGCUUUUGGGUGCUAACUUUGAGCCCUCUUCCUUUACAUCUAAAUGACAAUUUGUGGAUCAAUGAGGAUGUGUCAACUAGCCAAGAUCGAGGACCUGGAGGGGUGCUCUGUGGAAACUGCUUUAAAAUCCUUCAGAGGGUGGGCACGGAGCUCUGGUUCUGGUUGAAGAGUCCUGUCAAGGCCAUCUCAAAAGGAGAAGCAAAGCCUGCAGAGGAGGCCAGCCUGAGUCCUGGGGUGCGAACGGGUGCUGCGCUCAGCAUGAGGAGGAGGAGACCCUGGCCACAGUUCCAUGAAUCUUUGCUCCCUUCCACAUUAUGGAUUCUGGUAAAUUCAUUGGCCUACGCAAGUCUGAGCUCUAGGUCUGAACCCGCAUGGACCUGAGGGUGCACCGAGAAAAGAAAGGCUGACAACUGGAUCCCGGGAAUGUCAAGGCCACCCUGGGCUUGAAGGGACCGGCCAUGCCUCCAAGCCUUGCCCAGAGAGGGGGUUCAGGAUGCUGCGUGGUUCCAGGUGAUCUAUUGCUUUCUCGAGUUUAAAGUUCAGAGGAUCAUGAAGUACCACAGCUGGAAGGGGUGUAAGUGACACUGCCUAGCCUAACUCUCUUAAAAAUCAUAGCCCUACUCCUGCCUCCCCAAAUCAGAUACGACAGGCAUAGGCUCUGACUGUUCCUUAAGUCUUAGUGGCAAUACUCCCUGACCAGUUUUGCGGGGUUGCUCCCAGUUCCAUUGCUUUUGUAACAGGUGGCCAGAAAGCCUGGGGUCCCGUGAUAAGAGUUUCAGUUCUUUCCAGGAUGGAUGGAAAGAAGGAAGGAAGGAUGGAUGGAUGGAUGAAUGAAUGAGCGGGUGAGCGGAUGGAUGGAUGGAUGGAUGGAUGGAUGGAUAGAUGGGCCAGAGACUGGGAACGGUAAUGCCGGCCAGACGGGUCCGAGCGCCUCGGGAGCCCCAGCCCUCCUCCGGCUGCGGGGCCGCUGCUCCUGCUCCCGGGCCGUCACGGAGCCCUGAGGGAGGG